GUGUUCUAUAGGGAAGAGAUAAAACCUAAACAGUCCCGGAAGCUGAGACAAGAAACUGAAAAAAAAAGGAAAGUCAGCAACAAGAUAAUGUAAGUCACAACUGAGCCAAUUAAGGAGCAGGAGAUGCAGCAGCAUGUCCCAAACAAAACUGAUUGGAGGUCAAGUGUGGACAACCAGAGCAAGUUGUUGCACAGCUAAUGUAUCCCCAGGUGUGAACUGAGUAACAUGAAGAAAGGCAUCCUCCUGCCACCUCCUGAAUCAGUAGAAAAAGACAAAAGCUUUUGAUGGGAUUAUGCUGGAGUCAAUGUCAUGGAACCAAACUGGAAAUUUUCUGGCAUGAUUUUAGGCGUUUUGCAUGAACUCUAAUUCAUUGAAAUGUAACAACCUUAUAAGGUCCCUGCAGGACCAUGUCACCCAAAAUAAUGCAUCAGAUAUAAGGACUUGUCUUUUACUCAUUUACUUCUUGGACCUACUUAGAAAACUGUGGCAGCACUGUUUUGUUAUUACUGUCUUAAGUGCAUGAUCCAACUUGGAAAGAUUCAACUGGCUCAUGGUUUGUACCGGGGGAACCAGGCCCAUGGUUGGGAUCCAGGGGUCCCUCCAGUCUCCUGUUCCAUGGUCGCACACACCUUGAGGGCACCCACACGGUUUGAUCGUCUCCUUAUAUUGCUGCUUGCAGACUCGUGACGGGGUUUCUCAUUCAUCUG